UGAGAUCACAGAAGUCUGAUUUAACGUUAAGUCAGCUGAAGCUAAUGACCCGUGAAACCAACGGUAACGUCAAAGUAAAGUUAUCUGAAGCCAGUCUUACCUUUAGUUCAAAGUUUCCUGUAGUUGAGUUAUUCCUAGAGAUUUCUUGUGCAGCGGAAUGAACCCGGAAUGAGACUCCUUCGGGAAUAAAACACGCCCAGUUGAGAUACAGGUAUGGAGGAGGUGAGGAGGUGGGACCGUUAGAGGAAGUAAGCUAACACGACCCCGCUCUGGAAUGCUACCAGGCUAAUGUGAGCUGUGUCACAACCUCGCAUUAGUACAAACGUUUUGUGUCUUAAUUAUUCAAAUUUCACAGAGCUGCAGUUUGUGCAUGACGUGGACUUUAUCUCCUGUCACAGCCUCUUGGUCAUGGGGUGAGCACGUGUGGGAAGCCUGCCACCCCCUGGUUUGUAUCGGGAAGCCAGAUGCCAGAGUCAGCUGCAGAAGAUCAGCCCUAGAAUUGGUAAGGACUCUCAGCUGGGCUCUCCAGUUGAAGGACAGUUUCUUUGAUCACUCGAUCAUUUUGACCACGCCCUACAGAUUAAGUGUAAUGAACAUGCCUGCGAGCCUGUUGAAGCUCUCUGCUGCAGUUGAGUGUUUAGCGCUGGCACCAGAGGUCGUCUUGAGUCCUUGUGUAAGAGAGGAAAUGUAAAUUCCAUGACAAAAACAAACAAAUAAACCCUGGCCCUCAUAAACUGUGUCAUUGGUGGACAGAGACAUGGAAAAUAACAUCAUCUGGACCUGUCAGGCCUGGAUGUAGUACAGACAAAGUAACACCAUGUCCAUGUCAUGACACCUGUGGUUCUAAUGGCAACAUAGUCCACACAGUCCAAGCUAAAGGAAGGGACAAAUAUCAUCAUAGCUGUACUGCAGAGCCUGGGAGAAUGAUAAAAUGUAGUCUUUGAGGAGUGAUGAGGAGAGAGAAGGAAAAAUUUUGGACUGUGGUUUUAGACACAAUAAAUUACAUCGACUGCCUGAAGCGGGUCUGAACCUACUUGGAAGCGGGUGGGAAACAACAUCUGUAGAAGCCUUCGCCGGCUUUCUGUAUUUAUGGAAAGAGAAACCUCCUGGUGACCUGGGAACACGCUUACCCAAUUAGCAGCCUCGCCGACGGAUCAAAUGGAAGUGAAAACAUUCACUGCCGUGACGGAGACGCAUCACAAUGCCCCAUUCAUGCUGCCGAGCCCCAUGCUUUUGGGGUGAAGUGGUGUGUGGGGGGGUGUUCUUCGAGGGAUGUAGAGGGAGAACUGAAUGCAACAAGAAACUAACUUACCUCACCACCUUCUUUGACGUGUCGAUGGAGGCCUCAUUCAUGACUUAAUACAGCUUCAGAGGUAAACACUGUUCAAAGGUGUUGUUUUCAUAAGGUUACCGACCACUGCUCACUUCGGCGUUCCACAUCCCCUUCACCUCAGCCUCCUACAUCCCCUCGGACGCUCCCACCUCUACAACCCAACGAAACCUCGGCUCUUAUCCUGUGGGACUUGGACUGAAGGGGGUCAGGAGGCCUGAGAAACAGCAGUGGAAGCUCUGGGGAACAAAAGCUACCCUGCCUUAUGACCUGUAAAGUGUUACAGCUCUGAUUCAUUGCAACGCUUUGAGGUUAUGCUUCAACAAAUCAUUAUUUUCAUUAUGGAUUAAUCUGCAGAUCAGUUUUACGAUUAAUCGAGUAAUCAUGUAGUCUAUACAAUGUCAAAAAACACUGGAAAAUGCUCACCACAGUUUCUCAGAGCCUAAAUCGAUGCCUUGAAAGUCACUAUUUUGUCCAGCCAACAGUCCCGAGCCCAAAGAAUCUCAUUUACUAUCUUAAAAGACAAAGAAAAGCAGCAAAUCCUUGUGUUUCUUAUUUUCUUUUCUGAAGAGAACAGAUUUAUUCUUAGGCCACUGACCUCCAUAGCUGCCAUGAAAUUCCUCACCAGUUUCAAAUAGAAAAAUAAAAGUCAAGAAAGGACAUACUGCACCUGGCAGGUUAUUUGUUUUACAAAUGUCAGUAUAACAUGAAAUUCGGCUGUGAUGACAGUCAAGUAACCCAGGUGUGAUGGUCCGAAGAGGAUGUAUGACUUUGAGGAAAGUGACUGACUAAACACAGACUGUAUGUGUUGAUAACAGUGCCCAUAUUUCUCUAAGUAUUACCAACCUUUCCUCAGAUAGACUGUGCAGUCCUUGCACUGCAGUGAAGGCUCAGUAUAAAGACUCUUUUAUUU
ensembl:lncRNA